GCAGAAGCUUCCAGAAACUCCCUGGUGGGCGACCCAGCCCGAGCUGCCUGGGGCCCCAAGGGAAGCUGAACGCCCUGUGGGCUCCUGGGAUGGUUCUUCCCGUUCUUUGCGCCGCCUUCACCCAUUGAAGGAGCCUGUGCCCACCCUGCCCAGUCGCUUUCCGGGCCGCUGAGGAGCUUCCGCUGCCAUCUUCGGAUCCUGUGUUCCGCACGGGGGCUCCACCAGGGCAGGGAUGGUGAAUGGGGAAAUGGAGAGAGAACCUGAAAGAGCCCCAAACUCGAGGACCUAUUGCUCCCCAAGAAUAACAUCUUCCAGAAGAACUAGACAGAAAACUAGGCGUCUGGGAACUCUGAAAUCCUUGGAGGAGUAGCAUCAUCAUGACCCUCUGUGUUCCUUUUGGCAAAGGACUUGCUCCCAUUGUUUGCUUGUUCAAUUGUCUGUCCG
rnacentral:lncRNA from 1 species